rnacentral:tRNA from 2 species
GGGUGUUUAGCUCAGUUGGUAGAGCAGUAGCCUUUUAAGCUAUUGGUCGUGGGUUCGAGUCCCACAACACCCACCA